CGUCGGCCUGUUCCCGCUGACGGCCGAUGAGAACUCGGUCAUGGCCCCGUUCACCAUCCCUCUGAGCGCCCUAAUCGCCAUAUUUCCACCUGCAGCAGCUGCAGUAAUAUUCUAGCUAAAUUAGAGUCGUGACAGGUUCCCCCAUUGAAUCUGGUGAAGGGAACAAUGAGGAUCCACCUGGUGAUCACUAGCUGUACAGGCAAAAUCCACUACAGGGACAUCACCUGUAUGUGCCAGAGAGAGGAAGGGCUGAUUAACUGCCCAUGUUUCGAUGUAAAAGAGGCAAUGUUGCAACCUGGUGAAGAAACUCACAGGAAAGGAGCCAUAACAGCAUGGCAGCCAGAAGUCAUCACAGGUGACCAUCUUGGUUGAUGGUGUGUGGUCAAAUAUGACCAUGACUAUUAUCCUGGCAUCAUCACCAAAGUGGAAGAUGGGAACAUUGAAGUGAACUGUCUCCAUAAAAAAGGAAUCAACAAAUACUACUGGCCCAGCCCAAGGAAAGACAUCAGUUGGUAUGAUGACAGCCAGGUACUUUACCUGACAGAGGAGCCAAAUGCUGUCAAUAAAAUAUAUCUGCAGCUCAGUCCUACCACAUGGAGGUUAAUUGAAGAGCAGAUGUAGUCUAGAUGCCCAUCAACCUCAUGCCAUUCAUGAAAUGGUUUGUUUGUCAAUGUUAAUUACCAGUUCAUGUUUGAUGUUAACUUGUAACAAUCUUGUGUUGUUGUUACCAACUGCUUAUUUUCCACUGAUUUUUCAUGUUUAGGAAAUGUGCUAAAGUGUUUCAUUGUUUUUAUAUGAAUCACAAAAUAGCCAAAAUAAAAUAUUUCUUAUUUAAGUCUCCUC